rnacentral:rRNA from 1 species
GAUGAACGCUAGCUACAGGCUUAACACAUGCAAGUCGAGGGGCAGCAUGACGAUAGCUUGCUAUUGUUGAUGGCGACCGGCGCACGGGUGAGUAACGCGUAUCCAACCUUCCCGUUGCUAGGGGAUAACCUUGCGAAAGUAAGACUAAUACCCUAUGAAGUUCUUCGCAGGCAUCUAAAGAGAACGAAAGAUUUAUCGGCAACGGAUGGGGAUGCGUCUGAUUAGGUUGUUGGCGGGGUAACGGCCCACCAAGCCCACGAUCAGUAGGGGUUCUGAGAGGAAAGUCCCCCACAUUGGAACUGAGACACGGUCCAAACUCCUACGGGAGGCAGCAGUGAGGAAUAUUGGUCAAUGGGCGGAAGCCUGAACCAGCCAAGUAGCGUGCAGGACGACGGCCCUAUGGGUUGUAAACUGCUUUUAUGCGGGGAUAAAGUGGGCCACGCGUGGCCUUUUGCAGGUACCGCAUGAAUAAGGACCGGCUAAUUCCGUG